rnacentral:lncRNA from 1 species
AUGCAGAUCUUCGUGAAGACCCUGACAGGCAAGACCAUAACUUUUGAGGUCGAGCCCAGUGACACCAUCAAGAAUGUCAAGGUCAAGAUCCAAGACAAGGAAGGCAUCCCAGUUGACCAGCAGAGGCUGGUAUUUGCCGGCAAACAGCUGCAGUAUGGACACACCCUUUCCAACUAAUACAUCCAGAACCAUUCUACCUUGUACCUGGUGCUGCGUCUGCGCAGUGGCAUCCUUGAGCCCUGCCAGUGUCAGCUUGCACAGAAGGACAAGUAACAAGAUGAUCUGCUUCAAGUGCUACACAUGCCUGCACCCUUGUGCAGUCGACUGUUGCAAGAAUUGGGGCCAUACCAACAACCUGUGCCCCCAAAACAAGGUCAAAUGA